rnacentral:rRNA from 1 species
AUGUUUGAUAGCUCUCAAUAUAGGAUCAGUACGGGCUGUGGCGAGCCAUCAACUCUUCAUGCAGAAGACGGUGACUACGUUGUUGGUGGUGGUGGUUUGAGAGAAACUGAAUUGAAAAGGUUCCUAGACCUAUACUCUGUGAGGUAUCAUAUGCAAUUGGGAUUCAAGUUUUUCAUAAUUUUCUGUAGCUUGAUACUGUGCCAAGCCACGAUCCUAUCUCCUCUCUGCCGUGGUGUAAGUGAUGCGGGGAGGCCAGUGUGGUUGAGGGAGAUCUUGCCCGUAAGGUGCCAUUUGGCCUACUCCUCUUGUCCUCAGCCCGUUCAAGUGCUGGGAUUUGAAAAGCUAGAGAUGCAUUUUUUCCAGGGAGUCUGA